rnacentral:snRNA from 1 species
GGAUGUGGGGGCGAUCUGGCUGCGAUAUCUGUCACCCCAUGGAUCGCCAGGGUUGAUGCGGCUGAUCUGGCUGGCUAGGCGGGUGUCCCCUUCCUCCCUCACCGCUCCAUGUGCGUCCCUCCCGAAGCUGCGCGCUUAAUAGAGAGAGACCGGUCUUCGGUCAAGGGUAUACGCGUAGCUGCGCUCCCCCUGCUAGGACCUCCAAACAAGCUCUCUAAGUUCACCUUAGUUCUGCAACUAGAUGCGGGGGCUCUUUUAGCUCCCAGGUUCAUGUUUCCAUCUUUAGGCGUGCCUACCUCA